rnacentral:rRNA from 1 species
AGAGAGAGACAUGCGUGCAUAUCAAUAAGCGGAGGAAAAGAAACUAACAAGGAUUCCCCUAGUAACGGCGAGUGAAGCGGGAAGAGCUCAAAUUUGAAAUCUUAAAGGGUUUCCCUUUACGAAUUGUAGUUUAAAGAAGUGUUUUUCUGUUGAGGUUUUGGUAAAAGUUCUUUGGAAUAGGACAUCAUAGAGGGUGAGAAUCCCGUAUUUGACCUUUACUUUCAACUUUGUGAUACACUUUCAAAGAGUCGGAUUGUUUGGGAAUGCAGUCCAAAAUGGGUGGUAAAUUUCAUCCUAAAGCUAAAUAUUGGCGAGAGACCGAUAGCGAACAAGUACCGUGAGGGAAAGAUGAAAAGAACUUUGAAAAGAGAGUUAAACAGUACGUGAAAUUGUCAAAAGGGAAGCGUUUGACACCAGUGUUGUUUUUCUGAAAAUCAAUUAAAGAACUGUUUAUGCUAAGUUGUUUAGACUUUAUCAGCUAACUGUUUAGUUUUGAGCUUUUCUUUAAUGCACUUUUCAGUUAACAAGUCAACAUCAAUUUCUUUUGCUGUAAAAAAGCUUGAGGAAGGUGGCUUGAGAUUCGUCUUAAGUGUUUAUAGCCUCUUGCCUAUGCAGUCGGAGAGAUUGAGGUCUGCAGCGUAGAUCCUUCGGGGCUAAAUGCAUUUGUGCUAAGUUAUAGCAUUUUAUAGACAACUUGUUGACUAUGAUUUGUCUUGUAGCUUACUCGCUUAUGUUAUUUUACCUACGCUUAGGAUGUUGAGCGCAUGUCUCUCUCU